rnacentral:lncRNA from 1 species
ACAAGUCCGUUAAACUCUGUUGCUUUUCCCGAAAGCAAGACUGAGGUUCAAACCUCCAUAACGUUAGUAAAACCCUCUGAUUUACAUCUAAGGCUCAACAGGGGAAUUCAAGUCCCUAAAAAGACUAAAGGGAAAACUUCAGCUAUCCUGAUCAGAUACAAAGGCCAUGGAUGAGCUGGUCGAGAUCAAGGAGUGUAAUGGUACAAGUGGACUUGCGGUUAUUCCUGUAUUUUACAAAUGUUGAUAAAACCAGCUUGGAGAAUCAACUUGAGACUUGUGCUGGAGGGUUUGGUCAAUUGCAACAAACAGGAUACGCGUCUAGUCAGAGACAGGCAAUUGAUCACACCUCACAACAAAUGGUUAAUUCAUCACCAUCUUCAGAAAUGAAUAAAGAUGAGUCUAUUCCUGAGCAAACGGCUCCAAGUAAAGAAGAAACAAAUCCGUUAAAGGCUGGUGCUUUGCCAGAAAGCAAGAUUGAGGUUCAAACCUCUAUAACGUUAGUGAAACCCUCUGAUUUAAAUCUGAGGCCUGACGGGGGAAUUCAAAUCCCUGCAAAGAACGAACCUAAAAUCCUCUGUUUAUAGGUAUACGUUAAUAUACCUAAAAACCUCUGUUAAUAUACUUCGUCACCAUCUUCAGAAAUGAACAAAGAUGAGUCUAUUCUUGAGCAAACGGCUUCAAGUAAAGAAAUAACAAGUCCGUUAAACUCUGUUGCUUUUCCCGAAAGCAAGACUGAGGUUCAAACCUCCAUAACGUUAGUAAAACCCUCUGAUUUACAUCUAAGGCUCAACAGGGGAAUUCAAGUCCCUAAAAAGACUAAAGGGAAAACUUCAGCUAUCCUGAUCAGAUACAAAGGCCAUGGAUGAGCUGGUCGAGAUCAAGGAGUGUAAUGGUACAAGUGGACUUGCGGUUAUUCCUGUAUUUUACAAAUGUUGAUAAAACCAGCUUGGAGAAUCAACUUGAGACUUGUACUGGAGGGUUUGGUCAAUUGCAACAAACAGGAUACGCGUCUAGUCAGAGACAGGCAAUUGAUCACACCUCACAACAAAUGGUUAAUUCAUCACCAUCUUCAGAAAUGAAUAAAGAUGAGUCUAUUCCUGAGCAAACGGCUCCAAGUAAAGAAGAAACAAAUCCGUUAAAGGCCGGUGCUUUUCCAGAAAGCAAGAUUGAGGUUCAAAC